AGAAAGAACCUUAAUUUAAACCAAUUUAUUGGAAUCCCGAUGAUCGAUUUUUUAUGAUUUUUACAUUAUACUAUCAUAAUUAUUAUUAGUACGAUAUUAUUAAUUAAUGAUGAUAUGAAAUAAUGGUAAGCUUCAAAAUUAUCAUUUUAUUAUUAAAUACCCGUAUGAGUUGAAAAUUUAUUAACUGCUUAAAUGCAAAUUAUCCUUGCUACAAUCAUUUAAAUUUCAAAAUAUUCCUGAUAAAAUCAUAACCAAAUUUAUAAAUUCAGUAAAUAAAUUUAUUUUUCUAUAAGGUUUCUUUAUUACAAACCUAUAAUGUAUUUUGGAAUAUUGUGUAUAACACAUUUAUUUUAAAACUAUUGAAUUAGUUCAUUUGGUUUAUAUUGUUCAUUACCAUAUGUACAGUACGGUAAUGAUCUCAAAAAUUACAAAAGGAAUGCAAACGAAAUUUUAGAUAAUAAGAUUUAAAAGCAACUCCUCCUGCGGGUAUAUUAAUAAUUACGAAAAAAAAAAAUUGGCACAAUUACAAAAAAAAUUCCUGUAAGUUUUAUUUUUUCUUUAUUAAUUAUUUAUUAUUUGAAAAAUUUUACUUUACUAUUAAUAUUUAGUAUCAUAAUGAAAUAUACUAAUUCUAAAUUUUCUUAAUAUUAGAAUAUUUACUUUUUAAUUGAUUGGUAGCUAGCUCAUUUACAUAUUUUUCUUGAACUUUUUGUAUUUAAGAAUUUUUAAGAGUAAACGUUCAAACGCUCACGUUUAUUGAAAUAGAUCAACAGUUUGUUUACGAGAUUUCUUUUUUACAAAAGAAUUGAACAAUAAAAUUUGGAAUUUUUAAAAAAAAAAAUUUAAUUUAUUUAAAUAUUGAAAACAUUUUGACUUUAAUUAAUAAACAAACAAGAGCAUAAUGACUGUUCCCACUUUCAGUAUAUUUUUUUUAGUUCUAAUGAAUAGAGAAGAUUUUAACCAUUUUAAUUCCAAAUUGUAAAAAGAACAACAAAGAAUAUUUUUUUUUUUUGUUAUUUUUCCUAUUUACUUUGAUAUUUUUUAAAAGCCAUUAAAAAAUCUUUUUUUAUUUUUAUUGCACUGUGAUUUUUUCUAUAAAACUAUGAGAACAGAGAAGAAAACAAAAAAAAACAGCAACUACCUACUUAUAAAACCGGUUUUAAUCAAUUAUUGAUAAGUACACAAAAAAAAAAAAAAAAUACAUACUUAAUAAAAUGUCAACCUAUGAACUCCAAAAUUUAAAUUUUAUCAAAAAAUGAAAUACAGUAGAAUCAUAAUAAAUUGAAUGUGUUGAAAAAUAACAGAUUUUUAUAAAAGACUGUGAAAUUUUUAAAAAUAAUUUUCUCAGUUCGUUUGAAUUAUGAAUGAAGGCCAAAUAUUUUAAACUAAAUCGAUAGGUCUGAGUUUGGGUUUACACUCUCAGGCUAUGUAUUUUUCUAAAUUUUGUUUUAUUUAAUUAACACUUGACGAAAGUAAAAUUUUUAGUGUAGCUAGGCAUUAUUCUAUUUUAUUUGAUUAAAAAAACUAAACGUAAAUCCAUUUCUAUAAUCAAACAAAGACAAUGAAUUGGAUUUAAAUUCUAAACUGUGCCUCAGUGGCCGCAUAGAUGUCAUUAGAAUUUUAUUUCGAUUUUUUCUUCAUGAUCAAAAUUUUUGUUAAUAUUUUCGGAAAAAUCACAAAAUAUAGCACAAAUGACUUUGUAAACAAAUUUGAGUACAUUAUUAUUAAUCAAGUGAAAUUCCUAUUUUAUAAUUAAUUUAAAACAAAAUGGUUUUCAAUAAAAUGCUUAUUUUCAACGAUAAUUUCUCAAGUUAACAGAUUUCAUUCAUAAAAUCAGCAAAAAUGUCAGAAAAAUCUCUACAUUAUCUAUUAUCUACUUUGCACUUCAAUAGAAAUUUUCCACGAAACGAUUCCAGUUGAAUAAAUUUCCUUUUAACAAAGAAAAUUUAAUAAUUUUAAUUCUUAUUUUACAAUGAACUGAGCAGUCAGCAAUCUUUUAUUUCCUCAUAUCAAUUUCAUAUGUUCAUUAUACAGAAACUCUAUUGCCUCUUUUUCCAAAAAAUAAAAAUAAAAUAAAAAAAUAAGAAUUAAAUCCUUUUCUUUUGAAAAACAGUGAUUGUUUAUAUUGAAUUAAAACAAAAAAAAAAAAAAACUCUUUUAAAAGUGGAAAUUUUUCAAUCUUUUAAAAAAAUAUUUUUGUUAAUUAAAGAGAAAACAAAUUUUUUUUUCUACCCUAGUUUCACUCAAUGUUUUUAUUUCUCAUUCAAUUUUUUAAUUCCGAUUCACCCUCUUUAUAAUUCCUCCUCUCUAUCGCAAACCCCCCAAACACUUAAAACUUAAUUUAUUUUUUGACAAAAUAAAAAGUCAAAAAUAUCAAUUAAAUUUUUGUUUCCCCAUUUUAUAUUUUUAUAUGAGAUUUAUAAAAAAUAAAACAAAAAAAUAUUAUUGA